GCGGGCGUAACUCAGCGGUAGAGUGUCAGCCUUCCAAGCUGUUCGUCGCAGGUUCGAUCCCUGUCGCCCGCUCCA
rnacentral:tRNA from 1 species